UAGUGGCGAACGGGUGAGUAACACGUGGGCAAUCUGCCCUUCACUCUGGGACAAGCCCUGGAAACGGGGUCUAAUACCGGAUACGACCACCGACCGCAUGGUCUGGUGGUGGAAAGCUCCGGCGGUGAAGGAUGAGCCCGCGGCCUAUCAGCUUGUUGGUGGGGUAAUGGCCUACCAAGGCGACGACGGGUAGCCGGCCUGAGAGGGCGACCGGCCACACUGGGACUGAGACACGGCCCAGACUCCUACGGGAGGCAGCAGUGGGGAAUAUUGCACAAUGGGCGAAAGCCUGAUGCAGCGACGCCGCGUGAGGGAUGACGGCCUUCGGGUUGUAAACCUCUUUCAGCAGGGAAGAAGCGAGAGUGACGGUACCUGCAGAAGAAGCGCCGGCUAACUACGUGCCAGCAGCCGCGGUAAUACGUAGGGCGCAAGCGUUGUCCGGAAUUAUUGGGCGUAAAGAGCUCGUAGGCGGCUUGUCACGUCGGAUGUGAAAGCCCGGGGCUUAACCCCGGGUCUGCAUUCGAUACGGGCAGGCUAGAGUUCGGUAGGGGAGAUCGGAAUUCCU
rnacentral:rRNA from 1 species